UACGAAGGGGGCUAGCGUUGCUCGGAAUCACUGGGCGUAAAGCGCACGUAGGCGGCUUCUUAAGUCAGGGGUGAAAUCCUGGAGCUCAACUCCAGAACUGCCUUUGAUACUGGGAGGCUCGAGUCCGGGAGAGGUGAGUGGAACUGCGAGUGUAGAGGUGAAAUUUGUAGAUAUUCGCAGGAACACCAGUGGCGAAGGCGGCUUACUGGUCCAUUACUGACGCUGAGGUGCGAAAGCGUGGGGAGCAAACAGG
rnacentral:rRNA from 1 species